UUCGCAAUGCCCGAAAGGGUGACGAAGCGACGCCGCGUGGGUGAGGAAGGCCCUCGGGUUGUAAAGCCCUGUCAGGAGUUAAGAAAUGUAAGUGCGCUAAUAUCGCAUUUAUUUGACGAAGGCUCCAAAGGAAGCCACGGCUAACUCUGUGCCAGCAGCCGCGGUAAUACAGAGGUGGCAAGCGUUGUUCGGAAUUAUUGGGCGUAAAGAGCACGUAGGUGGGUUUGUAAGUCAGAUGUGAAAGCCUUCUGUUCAACGGAAGAAUUGCAUCUGAAACUACAAGUCUUGAGUGUAGGAGGGGAGAAUGGAACUUCUGGUGGAGCGGUGAAAUGCGUAGAUAUCAGAAGGAACGCCGGCGGCGAAAGCGAUUCUCUGGCCUAUUACUGACACUCAGUGUGCGAAAGCUAGGGGAGCAAACGGGAUUAGAUACCCCGGUAGUCCUAGCCGCAAACGAUGGGCACUAAGUAGAGGGGUUUU
rnacentral:rRNA from 1 species